CAUGAUCAUCCCUCUAUUCAAAUUGUUGCUUCUCAAGGAUAUUUGCAAACCUAUCAACUCAAGCAAACUAUGAUUCAAAUUUCGUGAAAUGCAAGUAUUUCUUCUGUAAUGGUAAAAUAGGAAGAAUGCUUAACUGGGAUGCUUCAAGCAGGUUUCGUGCUUAUCACCCAUAUGAAACCUAACAUAUGAUUUUUUAUUUACAAUAAUAUAUAUGCAUUUUCCUAUAAAUAUUGGGGAAGUAAACUUCUGGUGCUUUAGAAACAACCCUGCACAUAUAUAUCAGGUGAUGUAUUGGCUUGCAGGUAUGCUCCGGCUAGGUUGUUUCUUCUCUUCCUUAGGCUAUGGUUGCAACCGUUGGCUGCUAUGUUGGUCUUGAUGUAUUUGCUUUUUUAUAAGCUUAUAGUUUGAAAAACUGUAUACAAUGAUUCCUAAUUUGAUGCCAAUAGCUCGUGUGAGCAUCCACAGUGAUGGGUUCUUGUGCGGAUUAUCAGAGGCAGCAGCACCGUCGUGGAGUACAUGUACAUCAAUGCCGAUGGUGCCGGCAGCAACGACACAAGGUGGGCGAUUUGACCAGCGCAACAUUCUUAUUUGAGGAGUUGUGCGCAGUUCUGAAACAAUUAAGUUGUGCUUGGUGACACGCCUCAUUUCUGUGGUUGAAUAUUUGUGUUACCAUUUUCUCCCUUGCUGUGGAAAGCCACCAGCUUCAGGGAGUGCCAGGCUUCCACACAGCUAGAACAGACGCCACCUUUGGCAGGGAGCGUGAGGAUUUGGCUUGUCGAUAUGAGUGAUAGCAGCGCCAUCUGCAGAUUCCGCAGAUUCAAGCUGUAACGGAAGCUGCCAGGCUGCCGAGAUGAAGAUGGAGCCGCUGUGGCGCUGCGCCUCCAAGCUGCCGGGCCGCCAAUAUGCAGUUGGAGCCGCAGUGCCUCCGAGCUGCAGUGGGAGCCACUCCCCCGUCAAGCUACAUCGUGAUCCGCCGCGAAGAUGGAGCCUAGCGUGAGCCGCCUCCACCAGGUGCUUUCUCGAGUACAGUGGGGAGAGGAAGAGGAUGAACUGGUCGAUGGAAUCAAGGCUAACAGUCCACCACGUGGUUAUCUCCGGCGUUAUAUGUCCAGACUCCAGAGUGUGGUUCUUUGCCACAAUGGCACGGUUGUAAAUUUAUCUUUGGUGCUAAUUUGUACUUUAUGUAACUGGUAUAAUCUUUAUUGUUUCAUCAAAUUUAUUCCCACUUAUCUUAAUAUAAGAGCAUCUACAACCACAAGUAUCAAAA